AAUGUUGUGACAGGGCAAGGGAGAAUGGUUUUGCAUUGAAGGAGAGUUGAUUUAAAUUAGCAGGGACGUCCCUUUGCAGCUGGGACAUGAAUCUGCAAACCCUUCUGCAGCUUCUUGGGCCAGUUCUGCUUGAACCACUUUUCACUCCUGGAUGUAUUCUGAAGAUGUUUGCAUCAUAUUUUGUUUUAAUUCAGUGCUCAGGCAAGCUCGGGUGGUGCAGCAUCUCUCAAAAACCACUGCUGGAGGAAUCCAAGAAUGGAAGAUCAGCACAUACCAGCCUAAGGUGUCUGGCACUGCAAUAUUUUGUCUGAUUUUUAAAAGAGUGAUUUGGUUCUGCAUAAGCUCGUGAUUGAUUAUAUAUAUAUAUAUUAUAUAUAUAAGGAUCAGA